rnacentral:rRNA from 1 species
UACGUAGGAGGCGAGCGUUGUCCGGAGUUACUGGGCGUAAAGGGUGCGCAGGCGGCGGUUCGCGUGGCGAGAUGAAAUCUCCUGGCUUACCUGGGAGGGUGGUCGCCAGACGGGAUCGCUUGAGGGUCGGAGAGGGGCGUGGAAUUCCGGGUGGAGCGGUGAAAUGCGUAGAGAUCCGGAGGAACACCGACGGCGUAGGCAGCGCCCUGGACGACACCUGACGCUCAGGCACGAAAGCGUGGGGAGCAAACAGG